rnacentral:lncRNA from 1 species
GAAAACUAAUUUAUAGUAGCUAACCUUACAAGUCUUUGAUUCCUAGCCAACAAUAUCAGCUAGAUUAUAGUAAAAUAAAACAAGAAGAAAUAUUUAAAGAUAACUUAGAGGCCGAAUCCAAAUCAAACAUGACCACCACACUUUGAUUCUCUUCCAAACAGGAAACGAAUAUUUUGACGUGGUAAUUCUCUUGCUCUCGUUUCGACAUUCAAUAAACUCAUCCUGCACAUGAAACACGGUCUGCAUGAAGCCAUGCAUGGCUUGCAUGAGUAAUUUGCAUGAGCACAGCUCAAACGUACCCUUUGAACUUGUAGUUAGGUUUUGGUGCUCUUACUGAUCUCCUUGGCUCCUUAUCAAUGCCCCCUCGUGGAAGAGGACCCUUGUCCUCAAGGGUCAUAUUUUUAAAUAGAUUCAUUGGUUCCUUUAUGAUUCAAUAAGGAAUGAAAUGAAUUUUUUAGUUUGGCACGGUCUGUUGGGGUAACCUCCGCAGCAAUUUCAGUUUCUUCUUACAUAAUAUCUCUCGCCUUAGUACUUCCUUCAAGCAACAAUAUUUGAGGACCCAUACAUUUGUGACCUACAGUAAACUUCGCAGGGCAGUUAAAACAAAGUCCUUGGGCACGACGUCUCUGCAUCUCGUCCCACGUCAAGCGUUUGACAUUAGAUGUUGAUGUUCCGCUAACUGGGAAUGGCUGAGAAAACUUGCGUUGGACUUGGUCUGCUUGCAUACGCGCCAAACUGAUAGCUUCUUUCAAAGUCUUUGGCUUGAACAUCCUGAUGCCAUCAGAUAUCUCAGGCUUAAGACCUCCCAUAAAAGUUCCAACUAAAGCUUUUGGCGUCCACCCAUGAACCUGAUUGCCCAAUCUCUCAAAUUCUCAUUGAUAAUCACGUAAGGUGCCCACUUGCCGCACCUUGGAUAGAGCUUCAUCAAAAUCUUCGCACUCAGUAGGUCCGAAACGUGCCCAUAAUUCUUCUUCAAAAUCUGUCCAUGUAACCAUUCUUCCCUCCUCUUUAUAAGCUUUGUGCAGCCACUGCCACCAUUGGUUGGCUUCACCUUCAAGAUGGAAUGAUGCCAAUGCAACCUUUUGUGUCUCCGUUGUUCCCUGGUAUUCAAAGAAUUGGGAACUUUGCUAAACCACUCCGUAGGAUCAUCUCCAGCGUACCUUGGAAAUUCAAGCUUAGCCAUUUUUGAGGAGAAAAUCAUUCGGCUUCCACUAGCUUCCUCCUUGGUAUGCUCCUUGUAAGAAUGGCUAGGGUGAUUAUUGACGUUAUGGCUGGACCCUUCCUUGUUUGAAAAGAAAGCCUCGGACAUACGAUUGAUGGUCUCCUCGAGCUGAUGCAGUUUGUCAUUAAUGCCACUCCAUUUGUUGCAAUCCAUCUUGAAGUCCAUCAAGCCUCGCUUCUAAAUUUUCAAUCCUUUCUUUGUUAGUUGCCAUGAGAACAAUAAAGUUUUUGAACAAGAUAAUGCGGCUCUGAUACCAAUUGAUAGGUCCCAGUCAGAUGCUCGCUAACAAUGACUAAAAAGAUGAUAACUUUGUUCUGCUUUUGGUGAGAACGACCUGAGAUAAUUAGGUUUGAUAAUUGCUGAUCUUUUAUUCGCAGCGGAAAACUAAUUUAUAGUAGCUAACCUUACAAGUCUUUGAUUCCUAGCCAACAAUAUCAGCUAGAUUAUAGUAAAAUAAAACAAGAAGAAAUAUUUAAAGAUAACUUAGAGGCCGAAUCCAAAUCAAACAUGACCACCACACUUUGAUUCUCUUCCAAACAGGAAACGAAUAUUUUGACGUGGUAAUUCUCCUGCUCUCGUUUCGACAUUCAAUAAACUCAUCCUGCACAUGAAACACGGUCUGCAUGAAGCCAUGCAUGGCUUGCAUGAGCACAGCUCAAACGUACCCUUUGAACUUGUAGUUAGGUUUUGGUGCUCUUACUGAUCUCCUUGGCUCCUUAUCAUCCAUCAACCUCGUUUACCUCUGUAAAUGGUUCAAAUGUCCUCCUCUUGCAACAAAUCGAGCAGCCACUAGAAUCAUUACCAUAAAUAAGCCAGUCCAAUGCCUUGUCAGCGCCAAAUAUGAUAAUUUGACAGUUGACAGGAGAUCAGCAAACUACCAACCCUCAAUUUGGGACCAUGAUUUUUUGCAGU